rnacentral:rRNA from 1 species
CCUACGGGAGGCAGCAGUGGGGAAUAUUGGACAAUGGGCGAAAGCCUGAUCCAGCAAUGCCGCGUGAGUGAUGAAGGCCUUAGGGUUGUAAAGCUCUUUUACCAGGGAUGAUAAUGACAGUACCUGGAGAAUAAGCUCCGGCUACUCCGUGANNCANANUC